rnacentral:lncRNA from 1 species
GAUUUGAGCCAUACAUUAACAUCCACAUUACCUAUACGAUCUUGCGACAUUGGAGAGGGGCAAACCUGGAUCAAUGGGAUUUAGGAGUUAUAUGCAAACAAGAUUCGAAAGGAAUCAUUGAAAAACAAUGCCUGGCCCUGUUGCUGCGAUGCCUUACCACGAACGCCUUGAGUUGACACUACUACGUUGUCCGGAAGAGGUUCCCAGCAGUUGUCGGCCUCCUUUUUUGUGGACCCGUGAUUCCACACCACCUUUUCCCCCUUUUUGAGCUAGCAAUGCCCGCUCACAAUUGCGAUCGUUCGUCGGUUGAUCCUGAUACUAGCAUUUGGGGCAAUUCGAUCGAUCGAUGACACAAAGCUCACUGGAGAUCCUGUGCUCCUCUGAAGAGAGGAUAAAAAAAAAUCAAGUCUUUAAAAGAAGAAACCACAAGGAAAACAAAAAAUUCCUAGAAACUCUGCUGUUCUAAGUGGGAUGGAGAUGGAUCCAGUGAAAGAAAAGUGAAAAGGAACCAAAGCGAAGGGAAAGAACGCAUUUUUACUUGAACACAGCUGCCGGCUUAUCGAUCGAUCGACGACGAGGACGGUAAAAUAGCCAAAAGAGAAUGAUCUGUCCAUCGUCACGAACUGGGAGAGAUCUGGAGGGAGUCUCCAAUCCAAAUCAGAGCAGUGAGAGCGAGCGAGGACAAAUCUACGCACACCAAUGUAGGAGCAAAUCGAGAGAGAGGAGUGGGAGAGUGUCAAGAGGCAGGAAGUGUGCCAGGAUCAACCGGCGAGUUGUUUAUGUGAGAUUGCAGGUGUUGUCAAGCCAGAACCGGAGGACGUGAGAGGAGCAUGAGUCGUGUUUGAGAAGAUUGUGUUGAUAAUGGAUAUUUGGGAAAUUAUUGGUGGUUAGGCGGAAACGGGAAGCCAUUAGCUGGGGGAAUAUUUGGAGGUUGGAACAGACGAGUUUGGCUGCGAGCAAUGGAGAGGGUAGGUAAAACAUCAGCAGUUUGGAGCACCGAGGCAACAUCCCAAUGGAGACCGAGUAACCUGGAAUUUGCAGAUUAGGCGCAUGGUUCAACAGUUGAAUAUCCAGGUGGAGCAAAUGGUCGCAACCACGUGUCCCACUUGUGGCCAAGCUUGGUACCGAGCCAUGAGGGAGUUGCUCCAAGAACUGCUCGCGUCUAAUCCCCUAGAACAACAGCAGGGAGAGAGUGGUAUGAGUGAGAAGGGUAUGAAUAAAGAAGGGUUUUUUCCCUGUUAUUUCCUGUGUUCCAGUCAUGGUGUGAGUAUGGACUACAAAAUGGUGCGUUAGCCGGGAGCCUAUCUCAAGUAGCACAGAAGGGGCAGCCGCCCCUGUGGAAAGAGGAGGCUGUUGAGCUGACACCUAGAAUAGGAGUAUUAUCAAUUCAGUUAGGAAAUAAAAGAGAAGCAGAAGCAGAGUAGGAAAGAAAGAUACCUGAAACGCAGGGAAUCAAGUACCCCGUGGAAUAGCCCAGAGAAACUGACACCGGAGCAGCCAGAAGGUUCGGAGGAAGAAGAGGAGUGGGGAAGGUUUCAGGACUCGCAACCCUCGGCACCCCCAGGUUCCCUGGAACCAGAAGUAGGGCCUUUGGUCUCGCCAAGUGGAUCGGAUUCAUCAAAAACUGAGACAACCCCUCCGUCCUCUCCAACCCCUCAAGCCCCUCUUGUAACUGCAAUGGCUCAACUAGCACUAUCAGGAGGAAGGGAAAAAUAUUCAAAGUUCAUGAACCUGAGCAAUCUAGACUCUCACAUCACAGCCUUUGAAGUAGUGAGCACGGCAAAUCAAGAACAAGCAGACGCACUGCUGCUGAGAUGGUUUCCAACAACACUCUCCAGACCAGCCAUGGAUUGGUAUGCACAGGUGACGUCAGGUGUGGCACUGGCAUUUGUGACCUGGGAUGCAAUGAAGAGGGCCUUUUUGACUCAGUUCUGACCAUUUGGGUUCAGCACCAGAAUCACGGAGGAGCUCAACUUGAUCCAUUUGCUCCCGGGAGAGACCUACAGGAUUACACCUGCAGAUAUUGAGCUCUCCUGCAGCGAAAGCACCCUGCGCCUCUUGCAGAAGAUCAAGUGAGGUGUUACCUCAAUGGCUUGCCAUACGAAAUCAGCUUUCAUGUGAAGAUUCAUCGGCCAACCGAUCUCAAUGCAGCGGUGGAGCAUGUGGCUACCUGGGAGCAAGCGAGACUGGGAUCAAGAUCGUCGCUGACACCCGCGACUUACCCGAGUAUGCUGGCAGGGGUGCAAUACAUGCCUGCGAUGCAGACCACCCGUCUUCCAGCAGUGCCAGCAGCACCACCAUUGUCCCUGCCAGUGACCAAUUCCAAUCUACAAGGUUUUGAGGCUCAGUUAGCCAAGGUGAAAGAAGACGUGGUCGAAACCCUCACCAAGCAGAUGGCCAAGUUGCAGGUGAACCUAGUGAGGGGUCAAGGUGGUGUUCAGCCUCAAAAAGUGGUCGACAGGCCGGAAAUCUGGUGCGUAAGGUGCAAGGGGUACGGGCAUUACCCAAGUGAGUGUCUAAAUCCCCAAGCAGCUCAUCCACAGUGUGGGUAUUGUUGUUGAGCCAACCAUACCACUGAGAAUUGCUUUGCUCGGAUGAGGGAUAUGCAGCAACUAGUUGGGCCCACUAUCGCACAGCCCAUCUACCCCACACUUCAGUCUUCAAUGGAGGUUCCGAGCUAUUACGCUCAACCCCAGUUACCGGCAGUGCAGCAGGUGUCAUACCCAGUCUAUGCCUUGGAGCCGACCCAACAAUCCGGGCCUCGGCCACCAUCCUAGUUUCCGGCAACCGGAGGUUGGGGUCAGAAGCCAAAAUUGCAGAUCAUUUGCUACUGCUGCCACGAGCAAGGACACAUCACACCGCACUGUCUGAAUCCCUAGAAACAUGAGGAGUAUCGACCCAUUUGUGGAAUUUGUCAAACCCAGGGGCUACACACACAGGAUCAGUGUCUAUACCACUUGUAGAACACCAGUCAAGGAGUGAAUCAACCACCGCCAGCAGCUGAUCAGGGCAAGCGAGUGGUAGAUAGUAAGGCGAUCUUUGUAGCGGCAGAGGAUCUGCAAGAAGGAGCCGGCGUACCUACACUCAGUAUGGAGACUCGAGCCAGAUACAAGCAACAGGCACAAGGAGUGUACGGGGCAGAUCCAAGCCAGGCUUUUGGUGAGGACUCGGAGGUGAUCGCCAGGAGAAAUCGCCGUGCCACCCGUGAGAAAAGAGUGGCGGAGUUUGCAGAUCGCCAGUCAAUGGAAGUGUCAUUGGACGUUGGGAAUGCUGGCGUGAACAGACCAGAUGGUGCCAUGCGCCCAUCAUUGCCAAGCCCUCAGGAGAAAUCCAAUUUUGCUCAAGUCCUGAGAAAGCGGGAUUGUCAAAGCCGAUCAGGCUGCAGGAUCAGAUCCAAGAGGUGAGAGGCAGUGUGAAUCCCUGGAGAGCAGUGUAUAAUAUUGAC